CUCUGAAUCUGAACAUCACAGGCAACCCAGCUUUUUUGCUUUCCACUUGAAAUUCCAAACAUUCUCCGAGCUCGGUCGCAACAAUACACAGAUGGCGAUAAAUUUUCAAAGCAUGCAAGUUCUGAUGGAACCUCGUUAAAGUUGUUGUGAUAAAAUUUUUCCAUCAAUCACACAAUCAGUCGCAACAUCAGGGGUGAAGUUCACAUGUACCAGGAUAUCUCACGUAGCAGUGAUUAUCAUUCCAUCCGUUACUCGAUCCCGAAUACAGGAAAACCAUGCAGUCUUCCUCAGAAUUUCCAGCAUUUGGUUCUCUUGGCCCCCAAUUCGUGUAACCUGAAAGGGGUGCUCCAGUAGUUUCCCAGACAAAGAUUCCCUCUAGAUUUCUAUCACUAAGAGACGACCACUGCUCAACUACAAUGUGUAAUAAUAUAAAACAUGAGUAAUAUUA